CAAAUAAAAAAGAAAUUCACAUGAUACAAAAUCAAGGAUGAUGGAGAAAUUGAUAUCUUUCCUAUGGAGGACUUGUCAUGCUUUUCAAAUAUAAUAAUAUUCCAACACCCCCUCAAGCUGGAGGAUAUAUGUCAUAUGUACCAAGCUUGUUACAUAUGUAGCUGAUUCGAGGAUCUCUGAGUGAUUUAGUGAAUAUAUCUGCUAGUUGGUCAUUUGAGUUAACAAAACUAGUAGCAAUGCUUCCCGAAAGAACUUUUCUUUGAUAAAGUAACAGCUGAUUUCUAUAUGUUUAGUCCUCUCAUGAAAAAUUAGAUUGGAAGCAAUAUGCAGGGCU
rnacentral:lncRNA from 1 species